AUUGAACGCUGGCGGCAGGCUUAACACAUGCAAGUCGAGCGGGGGAAGGUAGCUUGCUACCGGACCUAGCGGCGGACGGGUGAGUAAUGCUUAGGAAUCUGCCUAUUAGUGGGGGACAACAUCUCGAAAGGGAUGCUAAUACCGCAUACGUCCUACGGGAGAAAGCAGGGGAUCUUCGGACCUUGCGCUAAUGGAUGAGCCUAAGUCGGAUUAGCUAGUUGGUGGGGUAAAGGCCUACCAAGGCGACGAUCUGUAGCGGGUCUGAGAGGAUGAUCCGCCACACUGGGACUGGGACACGGCCCAGACUCCUACGGGAGGCAGCAGUGGGGAAUAUUGGACAAUGGGGGGAACCCUGAUCCAGCCAUGCCGCGUGUGUGAAGAAGGCCUUAUGGUUGUAAAGCACUUUAAGCGAGGAGGAGGCUACUCUAGUUAAUACCUAGGGAUAGUGGACGUUACUCGCAGAAUAAGCACCGGCUAACUCUGUGCCAGCCGCCGCCGUAA
rnacentral:rRNA from 1 species